GAUGAACGCUAGCUACAGGCUUAACACAUGCAAGUCGAGGGGAAACGACAUCGAAAGCUUGCUUUUGAUGGGCGUCGACCGGCGCACGGGUGAGUAACGCGUAUCCAACCUGCCCAUCACUUGGGAAUAACCUUGCGAAAGUAAGACUAAUACCCAAUGACAUCCCACGAAGACAUCUGAAUGGGAUUAAAGAUUUAUCGGUGAUGGAUGGGGAUGCGUCUGAUUAGCUUGUUGGCGGGGUAACGGCCCACCAAGGCAACGAUCAGUAGGGGUUCUGAGAGGAAGGUCCCCCACAUUGGAACUGAGACACGGUCCAAACUCCUACGGGAGGCAGCAGUGAGGAAUAUUGGUCAAUGGGCGAGAGCCUGGACCAGCCAAGUAGCGUGCAGGAUGACGGCCCUAUGGGUUGUAAACUGCUUUUAUAAGGGAAUAAAGUGGGUCUCGUGAGACUUUUUGCAUGUACCUUAUGAAUAAGGACCGGCUAAUUCCGUG
rnacentral:rRNA from 1 species